rnacentral:lncRNA from 10 species
CACCAGGUGGAGGCAGGGAUAGGCAUGUCUGAGCUCAGCCUCCCCUUGGGCAGGGCUUGCUGUAACUGCUACUAGGGAUGAAGGUGUAGUUCUCAGUCCAAUGGAGUUAUAUUACCAAGAGGAUUAUGGCUGCCUCUGUUGAAUCAUACAGGUCACCAGGGAAGAAGCCAGCAGUCAUAGGCCUCACCCCACUCUCUGCAACCCACAGUCCCAAAGGCUGGUCUCACUCCCACCAUGCCCCCCAACAGCACCAAGUCUAUUUCCAGGUAGCCAGUUACCAGGACUCAGAGCUUGCCCCAGACCACAAGCCUCCCCAUUGAGAAAGCAAACAGACUCACUGUUUUUCAGUGUCUCAGGGAGCCUGCAGAGGUAAUCCAGUUUCUUCAAAUGGUCUGUGGAUUCUCUCAGCUUUCCUGGUAUGUACCCACGGUAGUUCUUGGAGCAGAAUUUCAGGAUGUGAGUCUUCAUACACGGCUCUGUCCAUCCGAGUGGGAGCUGCAAGCUAGUCCUGCCCCCUAUCUGCCAUCUUAAUCUCAAUUCCUAGGUUGUUAAUUUGAGAUCUUGCUAACUUUUUGCUGUAGGCAGUCAGUGCUAUAAACUUUCCUCUUAACACUGCUUUGGCUGUAUCCCAGAGGUUUUGGUAUGUUUUGUCUCUAUUUUCAUUAGUUUCAAAGAAUAUUUUGAUUUCUGCCUUAAUUUUAUUGUUUAUCCAAAAUUCUUUAGGAACAACUUCUUUCAUUUCUAUGUAUUUGUGUGGUUUGAGAAUUCCUCUUGGUAUUGAUUUGUAUUUAUAUUCCAGUGUGGUCCAAGAAGAUGCUUGGUAUGACUUUCAGUUUUUUUAAAUUCACUUUAUGACUAAACAUGUGGUCAAUCUUAGAGUACAUUCCAUGUGCAGAUAAAAAUAAUGUAUAUUCUGUGGUUGUUGGGUGGAGUAUUCUGUAGCUGUGUAUUAGGUCCAUUUGGUCAAGUGUUCAAUUUAAGUCCAGAAUUUGUUAGUUUUCUGCCUCGAUGGUCUGUCUAAUGCUGUCAGUGGGGUAUUGAAGUCCCCUCACUAUUAUUGUAUGGUUUUCUCACUUUUUUGUAGGCCUAAUGGUAUUUGUUUUAUAAAACUGGAUGCACUGGUGUUGGGUGCAUAUAUAUAUAUAUACACAUAUUUACAUAUGUAUAUAUUUAAUUUUUAUCUUAAGUUCAGGGGUACAUGUGCAGGAUGUUGUUAAAUCUUGCUGAAGUGAACCUUUUAUCAUUAUGUCCUUUUUAAUUAUUAUCAUCCAUUUUUAUUGUUAUUGGUUUAAAUUCUCUUUAUAUGUUACAAGAAUAGUGACCCCAGCUCUUUUGUGUUUUCCAUUUGUGUAACAGAUCAUUCUCCAUCCCUAUACUUUGAGCCCAUGGGUGUCAUUACAUAUGAGAUGAGUUUCUUGAAACAGGAGAAUGUUGGGUCUUGUUUUUUAUCCAACUUGCCAUUCUGUAUCUCUUAAGUGAGUGUUUAGGCUGUUUAUGUUCAAGAUUAAUAUUGAUAUGUUAGGUUUUUUUCUUGCCGUGUGGUUAUUAGGUAUCUGUGUUGCAUUUCUUGAUUGUAUAGUUGCUUUAUUGAGUUUGUAAGUUUUGUACUUAUGUGUGCUUUCCUGGUAGCAAGUAUUGUUCAUUCAUUUCCAUGUUUACAACUCCUUUGAGCAUUUCUUUGUAAGUCCAGUCUGAUAGUGACAAAUUCCCUUAACAUGUGCUGGUCUUGGAAUAGCUUUAUUUCUCUUUCCUUUAUGAGGCUUGGUUUGGUGGAAAAUGAAAAUGAAAUUCUUAUCUGGCAUGUUUUUUUCUUUAAGAAGACUAAAAAUAGGCUCCCAAUCUCUUCUGGCUCUAUUGACCUUGGAUAGCUUUAUGACUAUAUUCCUUGGGGAUGAUUGUCUUGUAUAGUAUCUUACAGGAGUUCUCUGAACUUCUUGUAUCUGCAUAUAGACCUGUCCAGCAAGAUUGGGGAAAUUUUCCUGAAUUAAACCCUCAUAUAUGUUUUCCAGGUUGCUUGUUUUCUUCUCUUAGGAAUGUCAGUAAGUCAUAGGUUUGGUCACUUUACAUAAUAUCAUAGAUCUUGAAGGCUUUUUCAUUUUUAUUUUUUAUUUUUUGUCUGACUGGAUUACUUGAGAACCCUUGUCUUCAAGCUCUGAAAUUCUUUCUUCUGCUUGGUCUACAUUAUGGUUAAAGUAUACAACUGUAUUUGGAAAUUUCUGUAGUAAAUUUUUCUAUUCCAGAAGUUCUGUGUGGUUCUUUCCUAAUAUAUAGCUAUGUUGUCUUUCAUGCUCUGAAUCUUUCUUCUGUCUUCUCUGUAUUUGAUUUCAACUUUCUCUGGCAGAUUGUUGAGUUUCCUUGCCAUCCAUAUUCUGAGUUCUAUAUCUGUCAUCUCAGCCGUUUCAAUCUGGUUAGGAUCCAGUGCUAGGAAGUGAGUGCAGUCCAUUGGAGGUGAUGGAACACUCUUGUCUCCUGUACCACUGGGGUUCUUAUGCUGCCUUCCUAACCAAGGAAGCUGAUGCUUCUUUUAUUGAAUUUGCUUCAUUUGGAUGGGGAUUUUUUUUUAUUUUUUCCCUUGAGGAUAUGACUCUGGUGUGUGUUGUAUAUAAUCAAUUGGCUUUGUUUCUGGGGGCUUUCAGAGGGCCAAUAUUCUGUACAUGUUCCUCAGUGGCAAAUAAAUUCAUGAGGUGACUAUCACAGAUGUUGUUUGUAAUAGCAAUUUUUUUUGUUUGUUUAUGCAAUUCAGGCUACACUCUUUAAUAGUAAGAGCCAGCAGGUAGCCUGGUGCCCAGUGUAUGCACCAGCACUGCUGAGGGUAGCAGGAAGAAAUUGUGAUGGGCAAGUGCUGAAGUCUCAGGGGAAGGGGAAGGGAGUGGUCACCCUCUCCUUAUCCUAAGCCAUCAGGAUUGUGCUCCAUUUCCUUAUUACACCCCUGUCUUGGGUCUCAUGACCUUCUGUUUAUAAAGGUCAUGAGACUUUUGUAAGUCUCAUGUGUAGCCGUUGGUCAUAGAUCUGUCUCUCCGAUGGCUACCACUAGGAUGGGGGCUGGGGCAGAGCUUCUUCCCACAGUCCAGGUGAGGCAACUCCAUAGACUUCCCUCCAUUGCCAGCGUGCUGCUGCUCUGUACAGGGAGAGGAAGCUGGAUCCUACCCUUCAAGAAUGCUUGAGUAGGCACAGGCUCACUUUCAGUGGGAGUAGAUCUGCCAGAAAAUGGUGUUCUUCCUGCAAACGCUGACCAGGCCCCAAUGAGAAGAACUGUCGCUGCAUCCACAAGAGUGCACUUGGGUACAGGGACAGGGGCAGAGAGAUGACUCCUCUCUCCACAUCUGUUUCUGGCUUUGGCAGUGGCUCCAUCAGCAGUUGGCACCAUGCCUAUGUUUUCUUUAUCCCAAGUGGAGGCCAUGCUCCGCCCUCCCUUAGGGGAGAUCUGGGCUGAAGGUUACAUUUCCAGGGUACCACAAUUCCCAGGGGACCCACCAGUCCCCUGUGCUUGCCAAAGUCAGAGUGGGUUGUAGAGAAUGUCUGCAGGUCAUCUGGUGGUGCAGAGGCUCAAAGGCAAAGGAUCCCCAGGCAGGGGGUGGUACCACAAAUGCACAACUCAUAUGGUACCCACUGUCUCAGCCUGUGUCUGAGUGGGGUGUGGUAUGGCUCUGUGAGCUGGCCACCCUGUUCUCUAUUCCCACGCAAUUCACCAAUCACCAGUGAUAUUGUUGUCCUGUAUUGGGAGGUGAGAGAAGCUCCCUGACCAUUUAGCAUUUAGCAGAUUGUCAGAGGGGUUUGGGGAGCAGAAAAGCCCUCCCAUCUAUACUUUCCACUGGGCUCUGAGUUCCUUUGGGUUGAUCUCAUCCAGACGUUUGCUGCUUUUCUUCUGUGCACCCCAGCUUCUUCCUGACUGGUCCUGGCUCUCUUUUUCUCUGUUUUCCAUUCAAAUCUUAAUGAUUCAGUGGUAACUUUAUCUUCCUUCUGAGGAAAACUUGCUUGUGAUAUCCCUAGACAGCCAACUUGAAGGAAAAAAAAAGUGGCUAAUUAAGAAUAAUUUUUUUGUAGAGACAAGGUCUGGCUACAUUGCUCAGGCUGGUGUCAAACUCCUGUCCUCAAAAAAUCCUCCCACCUCAGUCUCCCAAAGUAGUGGGAUUAUAGACAUGAGCCACUGUACCUGCCUUAUGAAUGAAUUUAUACCUGCUGAAAAGAAGAGAGCAAUCAGAAGAUUUUCAAUAUGUAUAACUGUGAUAUCCUGUAUUACUUGAAUAAAAAUGAAUCAAACAGAGAUUCUAAAAACUAAAUAUUAGAACUCUGAAUUAAAAUCUUAAUAUAUGAACUGAAUAGCCAGGUGGACACAGCUCAUAGAUAAUUAGAAAGCUAGAGGCAGAGUGCCAUGGCUCACACCUGUAAUCCCAGCACUUUGGGAGGCCGAGGCAGGAAGAUCACAAGGUCAAUCCUGGCCGACAUGGUGAAACCCCAUCUCUACUAAAAUACAAAAAAUUAGCCGGGUGUGGUGGCACAUGACUGUAGUCCUAGCUACUCGGGAGGCUGAGGUAGGGGAAUUGCUUGAACGCAGGAGGCGGAGGUUGCAGUGAGCCGAGAUUGUGCCACUGCACUCCAGCCUGGUGUUAGAGCAAGACUGCAAGACUCCGUCUCAAAAAAAGAAAAAAAGAAAAGAAAGCUAGAAGAUCUAGCAGAAAGUAUGCUGUGAACACCACACAAAAUGAAGAAAGGUGGGAAAAUAUGACGGAAAAGAUAAGAUAAAUGAGUAACAGAUUGACAAGUUUGAAUGCCCAUUUAAAUGGCAUUCCAAAAAUAGGAGAACAGGGCAAACAGAGAGAUGAAAACAAUUUAAAGGGAGGAAAAGAAAAAAGAGGUGAAGGAAACAGUAGAUCUGAAGAGUGACUUAUGCUUCAAAAAACCAACUUAAGACUGAAUGGAGGAAUCACUCAUUCAAUAUUUCAUGUUGAUUUUAGACCACCAAUGGUGAAGACAAGCAUUUACAAGGUUUCAGAGUCACUGGUUUUGAUCAGAAAACUAAGAACCACAUUGAUUCAGGCUUCUCAUUAGCAACCUCACAUACUUAGCAGACAGAGAAGUAAUGUACUAGAGGUGCGAGAAGUGUUCUUGGAUCUAGAAUAACAAGCAUAGUAAAAUAGCCUUUAAUUAGAAGGACAAAUUAAAUAAAUUUGUGGACAUCCAAUAACUCAAAAGUUUCAUAGAGAAUCUUUCUUUUUCUUUUCUUUCUUUCUUUUUUUUUUUUUUCUUUUUUGAGAGAGUUUCACUCUUGUUGCCCAGGCUGGAGUGCAAUGGUGCAAUCUCAGCUCACUGCGACCUCUGCCUCCCAGGUUCAAGCAAUUCUCCUGCCUCAACCUCCCAAGUAGCUGGAAUUACAGGUGCUCGUUACCACGCCUGGCUAAUUUUUUUGUAUUUUUAGUAGAGAUGGGGUUUCACCAUGGUGGCCAGGCUCGUCUUGAACUCCUGGGCUCAAGUGAUCGCCCGCCUCAGCCUCCCAAAGGGCUGGGAUUACAAGUGUGAGCCAACGUGUCUGGCGAGAAUCUUUCUUAUUCUUUCUCUCUUUAAUGAGAUAUAUUUUAUACACACAGAGAUCUUAAUUUACAGUUCCAUGGGAUUAAAACAAGUUUGCAUUUAUGUAAUUUGCAUUACUUUAAAAAUUACAACAACAUAAUCUCUGAAACUUACUUCAAUCAAUUCACAUCCCUACAACUGUUAAGAUUUAUUUUGUGAUUAGCAUCUUAUAGUGGGUAUUCUUUUUAGUGUCUGAUAUUUCUAUUCAUUAAAAUACCUGUGAAACACAUCCAUGCUGUUCAAUAUAUCAGUAUUUCAUUCAAUUUUUUUCUGAGUCUUAUGCCAUUAUAUGAAUACACCUGUGAUCUGCUCACCAGCAGGCCCACAUCACAAGUGACAGCUCCACCAAUGCUGG